GACGAACGCUGGCGGCGUGCUUAACACAUGCAAGUCGAACGGAAAGGCCCUGCUUUUGUGGGGUGCUCGAGUGGCGACCGGGUGAGUAACACGUGAGUAACCUGCCCUUGACUUUGGGAUAACUUCAGGAAACUGGGGCUAAUACCGGAUAGGAGCUCCUGCUGCAUGGUGGGGGUUGGAAAGUUUCGGCGGUUGGGGAUGGACUCGCGGCUUAUCAGCUUGUUGGUGGGGUAGUGGCUUACCAAGGCUUUGACGGGUAGCCGGCCUGAGAGGGUGACCGGCCACAUUGGGACUGAAAUACGACCCAGACUCCUACGGGAGGCAGCGGUGGGGAAUAUUGCACAAUGGGCGGAGCCCUGAUGCAGCAACGCCGCGUGCGGGAUGACGGCCUUCGGGUUGUAAACCGCUUUCGCCUGUGACGAAGCGUGAGUGACGGUAAUGGGUGAAGAAGCACCGGCUAACUACGUG
rnacentral:rRNA from 1 species